rnacentral:lncRNA from 1 species
AAAAGGCAUUGGAAAAAGCAGUGUUAACACAAAGGUCCGCCUGCUUUAUACUGGACUGAAACAUGAGAGGUCAGACCAUGCAACUUGGAGAUAAGAAGUAAAACAUGAAGUGCCUUUUGCUGUCCUCUUUCCCCACUGGCCCUAGUGCAGGCCCCAGCCUCCGUCCAGGCCUGCCCUAUGGAGAGUCCUCAGCUGUGUUGCUCUCACACUCUCCCUCUCAUUUUGCCGGCCAUUCCUUUGCCUCCUAUGUCUCCACGUAAUCCUCUGAUAAUUCUGUUUUUUAGCCUUUCCACCUCAGGAACUCUCUCAGGCAGCCCUUGUGAUUUCCUCCCUGUGGGAGUAGCUACUGUCCAGCCAUCCUGUGGAAGACUAGAGGUGUCCACAGGCUUUGGAACUUCCAAGAACGCUAUCAAGAGAUCACAGCUGAGAUGUGUCCCCAUUUAUUGCAGG